AUUCGAUUGAAGGAAUACCAGUAUAGAAUCAUUUGGAAAGCUACUUUGCUGAAAUGGUCAAUAUAGAGAUCUUGAUCAGAGCCAUUAUCGUAAAGUUUGUCAUACUGGUCAGUACAUGUACGUGUGUUCUGAAUGGCACCAAUGCCUGAGGACCUGAACCUUCUCCAAUGGACUCUUCGAAUACACAAAGCUCUGAUGCUGGCCUCUCCGGUGGAGCAAUAGCCGGCAUCGUUAUUGGCGUCGUAGCCGUACUCGCAAUUUGCGCAAUUUGUGGCUGCAGGGUGUAUGGCCAUUGCAUGAUAAGUGCUGGAAAUACAAACGGUGGAAGUCAACCGUCGGGUCCAGCUAAAUA